GGGAGAACGGGGCGGGGGGGCGCCUACGGGUGCGUCCUGCGUUGCAACGGUGCUCCUGUGGGGGGUGCACGGCGCUGCAGGCGUGCACGGCAUUGCAAGGGUGCACGGUGUUGCAAGGGUGCACGCGUGGGGGGGGCAUGGUAUUGCAAGGGUGCACCCAGGGGGGUGCACGGUGUUGCAAGGGUGCAUCUAUGGGGGUGCACGGCACUGCAAGGGUGCACGAGUGGAGAUGGGGGCGUUGCAAAGCAUGCCCGACAUUGCAAGGGUGCACCCAGGGGGGUGCACAGCAUUGCAAGGGGUGCACAGCAUUGCAAGGGUGCACCCAUAGGGGUGCGCGGCAUUGCAAGGGUGCACGAAUGGAGAUGCAGGGCGUUGCAAAGCACGCCCAGCAUUGCAAGGGUGCACAUAUUUGGGGCAUUAAAUGAAUUAAGGGUGCAGCCACGGGGGUGCACAGCGUUGCAAAGGGUGCACGGCGUUGCAAGGGUGCACCCAGGGGGUUGCACGGCGUUGCAAGGGUGCACGAAUGGAAUUCCACCUACUUGCAAAGGGUGCUCGGCCUUGCAAGGGUGCAUCUAGGGGGGGUGCCCAGCAUUGCAAGGGUGCACCUCGGGGGGUGCCCGGCAUUGCAGCAGUGCCGUGCACGCCCUCGGGGCCGUGGCGGCUGCAGCGCCUGCAGCUCAGUGGCUGCAAAGCGGUGCAGUG
rnacentral:lncRNA from 1 species